rnacentral:rRNA from 1 species
CAGCAGCCGCGGGAACACGUAGGGGGCAAGCGUUAUCCGGAUUCAUUGGGCGUAAAGCGCUCGUAGGCGGUCUGUUAGGUCGGGAGUUAAAUCCGGAGGCUCAACCUCCGUUCGCUCCCGAUACCGGCAGACUUGAGUUUGGUAGGGGAAGGUGGAAUUCCUAGUGUAGCGGUGGAAUGCGCAGAUAUUAGGAAGAACACCAGUGGCGAAGGCGGCCUUCUGGGCCAUAACUGACGCUGAGGAGCGAAAGCCAGGGGAGCGAACGGGAUUAGAUACCCGCGUAGUCCCUGUCUCUUAUACA